rnacentral:misc_RNA from 1 species
UUAAGUUCAGCGGGUAUUCCUACCUGAUCCGAGGUCAACCUUGAGAAAGCGGCGCCAGGCGUCGCGCUUUACGGCGUGGCCGCGCCGCGUCCCGGUGCGAGGUGUGUGCUACUACGCAGAGGAAGCCGCGGCGUGACCGCCACUGGAUUUCGGGGCCGGCCGCCGGCGGGGCGGGGCCGAUCCCCAACGCCAGGCCGCCA